UACGGAGGAUCCAAGCGUUAUCCGGAAUCAUUGGGUUUAAAGGGUCCGUAGGCGGUCUUGUAAGUCAGUGGUGAAAGCCCAUCGCUCAACGGUGGAACGGCCAUUGAUACUGCAGGACUUGAAUUAUUAGGAAGUAACUAGAAUAUGUAGUGUAGCGGUGAAAUGCUUAGAGAUUACAUGGAAUACCAAUUGCGAAGGCAGGUUACUACUAAUGGAUUGACGCUGAUGGACGAAAGCGUGGGUAGCGAACAGGAUUAGAAACCCGGUAGUCC
rnacentral:rRNA from 1 species